ACUGUGCCCUUCAGCCGCACAGAGUUUGGCUGCCAAGGCUGUGGAUAGAGCACAGUGAACCUGCUUCUGUAUGGAGCCCUCAGUGUGCGAUGGCCCCUCUGCACAUGGGCCUCGAGUAUGGGAUUUCUGGGUUAAUGCUGAGCGCGUUUUACCCUCUGCACUUCCCGCUGCCUUCUGAAGCGGCUCUUUCCUAGCUCUGUAGGAAAGCACCUGCGUCUGCACCAGCGCCAGCGUCUGGUGGUGCCAUCUUUUCACUGUCUCAGAACUGAAAAGGGACUCUCCUUGCAUUUUGGCAAUGAUGUGUUUUCAACAGGACAGAGAUUGCUUCGCUGCUGUUGGUGUGCUGGCUUUGGGAACCUAAACGUGAUUGUCCAUGGAUGGCACAUGAAUCUGAAUCUGAGGCGUGCUGCCUAGACAAACUGUCCAGUGGAAGGCUGGCGCCAUCACUGUGAGCCAUAACACAGAUGCCUGUGUCAUGCAGAAAGUUCUGCUCUUCAGCUGCUGCGAUGAGUUGAGCCCUGUUCCUUCAAGAGUGGAAGCCAGAGAUAUCUGUUACCUGCACAGCUGUGUGAUGUCCUCAGGUCCUGUGGGCAUCAAUUCAAAGAGCGUCUGUGUGGAUCUACAUUAGCUGUGAUUACCAUGGCUGUCACAAAGAGGCAGUACUUGGAAGCCAUGGUGCUCACCCCCUAGAGGCCAUGUGUGGUCCAAGUGGGGCUUGUUGAAACGUCCUGGAUCAGAGUCCUGGCAGUGCCAUGGAGGGGCGCUCCCUGGGCGGGUCUAAGCUGCUUCCUUCCCAGGCUGCUCUGAUAGCCCAUUGCUGUUCCUCUUCUUGGUGAAUCCCCUGCCCUGCUCGGGGCACACUCAAGGCUAUGGGGUGUAUGAAACGGGGUUCUAGCUCUCAGGCAGGGAUUGUUGGGCUGGCUGUGCAAGGAUGUGCUUCUGUGGGAGCACCACUGGAACACACUCCCAACUCCGCAGUGUGGAAUGAGCGGCUCCUUACUGCAAGAACUUGUGUAUUUCUCAUUAUCUUUCUCAGUUCAAUUUAGUUUUCAGAGGAGGAGGCCAUUUAAAGUAGCCAGUUAUAAAUUUGACAGUAAAAUUUUGAUCCACAAUCUGUGUAAACAGCCAGAUAGCACAUAUUUAUAUAGCUUUAGGCUCAUUAUGGGGCUCAGUGGGACAGUAAUGUGCUUAUGAUAUGCAGGCUUGGGUCUUCACCAACAAAACAUCUUCACCAGCAAAACUCCUUUUUAAAAAGAAUAUUUGUAACAAAUAUAUAUUUGCUCCAAAUUUAUUUUAUCUUUAGUUAAUUUUACUAGUCUUGUGAUUGUUUUCCUGCAACAUAGAUAGCCCAAAGAAAAAAAUGCCACUAACAGUAAAUAUUGUUACUGUGGAGCAGUACAUAUUAUUGAAAGUUGAGGUUGUAAUUUUUUAAAAAAUUUAUUUAUUUUUUUUUGUUUUAGGUGGACACAGUAUCUUUAUUUUAUUUUUAUGUGGUGCUGAGGAUUGAACCCGGUGCCUCAUGCAUGCUAGGCGAGUGCUCUACCACUGAGCCCCAGCCCUAGCCCCAGGGUUGUAAUUUUUAAUGGUGAAUAGUGCUGAUAAAAAUUUUAUUCUACCGUCAUGAAAUAAAUGUUUGAGCUGUGUGACUAGGAAGGUACUAAUCUUCUAAUUAUUGUACAUUAUGGGAAAGACCUCCUGAAGCAUUCUGCGACAUUUCAACAGUUGCAUAUUUCCUAGCAUUUUCUACGUCUGGAAUAGUCAUCAGACUUGGUGCAUUGCAGUAGCUGGCAUAGGAAGAGAUAGGUUUCAUGGCACUCGCCCAGGGCUAGUUCAUUUGUCACCUUGGCAGAUGUGGUAUCACCAGGGACUUGGCGCCUGAACAGGGAUGUUCUGCUGCUUAUCAUAGGACCUUCUGAUAAUAAAUCAGUGGAAAGUUUGGCACUCAUUAUAGAUGAAAAACUCAAGGAUUAGACACUUCUAAAAAAGCUUAAUUUCAUCUGGUGGACACAAAAGUUAAAUACCUUCUGCUGGACACAAAAGUUCUCUCCUCUCAAUGUGCCAGCAUUGUGCUACCUCCAUUCUCACAUGUCCCUCCAGCACCAUUUCUCUGCCUGCUCUCCCACAGGUGCUGUGGCCUGGCUGGUGGUGCUGCUGGAUGGUUCUUGACAAGAGCAGUUGCUUGCCGUCUGCCUGCUGCUAGUGGGCUGCCUAAGAUGUAUUGCUGGCCUUCGCUGAGAAAUAAUUUCCAUAGGAUUUCUUUGUCCUAGAUUUGGAAAAAGAGAAGACUGAUCAGGAGGAAAUAUGGUGUGUUUGGAAGAUCAAAGCAAUCCCGUGUUUCAGGUGGAAUACUCUAAAAAAAAAUCUUUUGGUAAUAGUUCUAUCUACUGUAAAAAGUCCAAACAUCAAAAAUAAGUAAAUGAAUAAAAAAGUAUAAGAAGAAUGCAAAUGCUGUGUGGAACAGCCGCCGCCUCCUGCUCCCAGCCCUUCUAGGUGUUCCGCAGAGCCCUCCCUGGCUCCAUCUCUCCAGAGUGUGCAGAGUGUGGUCCUCCAUGCAUAAUGUUUGACUUCUACUUUUGACACUCAAAACAUGUUACAGAUGACUUUCCUUAUUAAAGAAAGGAAAAGUACAAUCAUAA